AGAGACACACACCAUGUCUGUCUCAGCAGAGCUCAGUGGUGUCUGCACCAUGGCCUGGACUCCUCUUCUCUUCUUCCUCCUUCAUUGCACAGGGUCUUUCUCCCAACCUGUGCUGACUCAGUCACCCUCUGCCUCUGCUUCCCUGGGAGCCUCAGUCAAACUCACCUGCACGUUGAGUAGUGAGCACAGCACCUAUGACAUUGAAUGGUACCAGCAACAUCCGGACAAGGCUCCUAAAUAUGUGAUGUAUCUUAAUAGUGAUGGAAGCCACGGCAAAGGGGAUGGUAUCCCUGAUCGCUUCUCUGGCUCCAGCUCUGGGGCUCACCGCUACUUAAGCAUCUCUAACAUCCAGUCUGAGGAUGAAGCUAUCUAUUACUGUGGUGUAAGUGAUAGCACUGGGUGAACACAGUGAACUGGAUAAAUGAGGAAGCUGCACAGGAUCUAUUUUUAUUCUCUUGCUACAAUGAAUUG